CAAUAGCGUAUAUUAAAGUUGUUGCGGCUAAAAAGCUCGUAGUUGGAUUUCUGUCGAGGACGAAUGGUCCAUACUAUGUAUGUGUAUCUAUUCAUGCCUUGGCAUCCUCUUGAAGACGUCGCCGCGCUUAAUUGUGUGGUACGGUAUUCAAGACUUUUACUUUGAGGAAAUUAGAGUGUUCACGGCAGGCAAUCGCUUUGAAUACAUUAGCAUGGAAUAAUACUAUAGGACUGUGGUUCUAUUUUGUUGGUUUCUAGAGCUGCAGUAAUGAUUAAUAGGGAUAAUUGGGGCAUUCGUAUUAUUACGUCAGAGGUGAAAUUCUUGGAUUGUAAUACGACGAACUACUGCGAAAGCAUUUGCCAAGGAUGUUUUCAUUGAUCAAGAACGAAAGUAAGGGGAUCGAAGACGAUCAGAUACC
rnacentral:rRNA from 1 species